GCACUCUUUGGCCACACAUGAACUAAAAUUGGAACAUUAUAAAGAAGAUUAAAAUGCCCACUGUGUAAAGAUGACAUGCAAAUUCAUAAAGCUACUGUU
rnacentral:snRNA from 1 species